rnacentral:lncRNA from 1 species
GGAGUUUUAGGGCGGGAGCCAGUAACGGAAGAAAUGGAAGACCCAGUUCCUUCUUCAUCCCCACCACCUGACCUCACCACCAUUCACAGACGAGUGCUUGAGCUCGAAGAGAUUCUCGAGCGAUGCCGCCGAGACGAUGAUUCCGAAUCACCUACUGCAGAUUCUCAGGAUUUACUUAACGACUGCGCUGUGUUUCUCCGGGUAAUUUUGAAUUUACCCCUCUCUCUUUUGGUUCAAUUUCGAAAUUUUCGUUUACAUUUUUCUCUCAUCAUUGUGCAUGUAAAUGUUGCUCUGAUGUUUGUCUGUUAGGGGAUCAAGAUUUUGAAGCAUAUAUGGGACGGUUUGAGCAGGAGCUUAGCUCCGUGGAGGCCGAGAGCGCUAAGGUUUCCAACGAAAUUGAGGGUCUCGUUUGAACCCAUGAGGAAGAUUUUAAUCGGCUUAAUGUUGAUAUUGGGUAGUUGAAAUGUUCAUUGGAUUUUGCUGGAUCGCAGGUUGGAUUUGGAAGAAAGCAAAACUGGGUGCAGAUGCUGAUUGCCCUUCCUAUGGAAAAGAUUAGUUGGAUC